CGAGUCGGCUGGGCGGUCGCGUCGGUGCCUCACGGCAUCGCCGAGGAACGUCCGGACUCCGCAGAGCAGGGUGGUUGUUAACGGCAACCCGGGGUGACCCGCGGGACAGUGCCACAGAGAACAGACCGCCUCCGGUGCCUGAAGCAUCGGCGGUAAGGGUGAAACGGUGAGGUAAGAGCUCACCAGCGCCCCGGGUGACCGGGGCGGCUAGGUAAACCCCACCCGGAGCAAGGCCAAGCAAGGUCGCGGCCGCGAGGUCGUGGCCGGCGCAGGGUUUGAGGGCUGCUCGCCCGAUCCUGCGGGUAGGCCGCAAGAGCCUGUCGGCAACGGCAGGCCGAGAUGGAUGGCCGCCACCGGCGACGCAAGUCACCGGCCACAGAAUCCGGCGUACAGGCCGACUCGUCCG
rnacentral:RNase_P_RNA from 2 species